rnacentral:rRNA from 1 species
CCUACGGGAGGCAGCAGUGGGGAAUUUUGGACAAUGGGCGAAAGCCUGAUCCAGCCAUUCCGCGUGAGUGAAGAAGGCCUUCGGGUUGUAAAGCUCUUUCGCAAGGGAAGAAAACUUAGUUACUAAUAUUAGCUGAGGUUGACGGUACCUUGAUAAGAAGCACCGGCUAACUACGUGCCAGCAGCCGCGGUAAUACGUAGGGUGCGAGCGUUAAUCGGAAUUACUGGGCGUAAAGCGUGCGCAGGCGGUUUUGUAAAGUCCGAGAUGUGAAAUCCCCGAGCUCAACUUGGGAACUGCGUUUGAAACUACAAGACUAGAAUAUGUCAGAGGGGGGUAGAAUUCCACGUGUAGCAGUGAAAUGCGUAGAGAUGUGGAGGAAUACCAAUGGCGAAGGCAGCCCCCUAGGGAUAAGUAUUGACGCUCAUGCACGAAAGCGUGGGGAGCAAACAGGAUUAGAUACCCUGGUAGUCCACGCCCUAAACGAUGUCUACUAGUUGUUGGUGGAGUAAAAUCCAUGAGUAACGCAGCUAACGCGUGAAGUAGACCGCCUGGGGAGUACGGUCGCAAGAGUUAAAACUCAAAUGAAAUUGACCGGNNGAGAGNGCGAGACGACGACGAGGGAGGAGG